rnacentral:lncRNA from 1 species
GCAGGACAGUGGUGCUAAUUGAGUGAGAAAACAUAAUGCAGGGAGCUGUUGUCUGCAGCUGGGGCGGGGGUGACUAAGUGGCCCACCAUUGUUGGUGUCAGGCAGGCAGAUGUUGCGUUCUGUUGAUAACUGCACUGACAUCGCCGGAGCUUGUCACCGCAGCUUCUGCCCAGAGACUCUCGGCUCUGGCGGCAGAUGGCUCUGCUGAAUGGCCACGGAGGGUCCCAGCGGCCAGCCCGGCGUGUGGUGAGUAGGAAGUGGCUGCCUGGUAAACAGGAUGGGGCUCCAGGGCCUCUCCAGGUCCCCUGGGGAGAGUUCCCCGGAUGUUCUCAAGGCCUGAAGCACCUGCGACACUGGGAUAGGAUUGGCCAAGGCCAAAGCCAGGGUUCCUGGACAGAUCUGGAAAACUGUCUGGGCCUGGGCUGGCAGGAGGAAGAGCUGGGUCCUCUAGCCUGGAGAGUAGGCACCAGCUGCCCCAAGGGUGGGGAGAGAGCCAGGGGUGGCCUAGGCCUGGGUGAGGGGACAGGUUUCCUAGAGGGUCCCCCACAGCUGCCAGAGCCCGAAGGCUGUGCCCAGUGCCCCAGCCCAAUACAGCUACUGUGGAGUGGUCUUCUCCAAGGCCUCGGGGGCUCAGGGACAAAGCCCAUCAGACCUCAGCCCGGGGCCCCUCGUUGGCCCUGGCCCACCCACUUUGGUGACUGCUAAUCCCACACACUGGGCCUGGUCCAGGGAGGUCUCCUGGGUUGGUUGGCUUAUGUCUGUGGAAGUGGAUAUCUUAGAUGUACCUCAUAGCUAAGGGUGCACCCAGAGCUCAGGGCAUGCACGCUCAUGCUCCCUAGCAGCGAGCUGCUGCUGUAGCACUGGCAGACUUGGGUACCCCAAUAAGCCUGAUCUAGGACCAGCCCCACCCAGUCCACCUGAAGGCCCUCCAGGGUGACUGUCACAGGGGCCUUGGGCUGGGGACAGGGGCUCCUCCUCUGGGCCAGGAUCUGGAGCCCUCCACUGCCCAGAGAGGUGACCUCAGAGCUGCCCUGGGCCGGCCAGGUGCUUUUUUUUUUUGGUACUGGGGAUCGAACUCGGGUCCUUGCACUUGCGCAGCAGGCAGUGAAACCACUGAGCUAAAUCCCCGGCCCUGGGCCAGGUGCUUUUGACAAGGACUCCCCAAGGCCAGGUUGGUGCCUGGCUCUAGGUGGCCUCAUAAUGAGCCAGAGGUGACCCCUGUCCUCCAGGGCCCCCAGGAGGCAGUGACGGAAGCAGCAUUGAGGGAUGAGCAGGGUUGGGGGAUGGCAUUCCAGGUAGAGGGCCCCACAAUGCCUCAGGACUCCAGGGGACACCCCAGAAUAACCCAUCCCAUGCAGGGAAUGCUCAUUGGAUACCCAGCACUUUUCUCUCAGGCCCGUGGGAGCUCUGAAAGGAAAACUGAGGCCCUAAAUGGGGGUUCUGCUCAGGCUGCCUGGGUGGUAGACCCUGUAGGAAUCUGUCACCAGGAAGCUCCACACCCCAUCACCCACCCCUCUUGUCUGGCAGCGCCUCAAGGGCCCAGUGGGAUCCGUCCCUCCUGAUCCCCAGGCAGAACGAAGCUGCUGUCCAGGUGUGGAUGGGUAGAGCCCCAGGUUCAAAUUUCAGCUCCAUGGUGUGGGCAGCACUUCCUCGGGCCCUGGGGGGGCAGCUGAUGACUCUCACGAAUGGGAUCAGAGCGAGGGGCAGGGGGACCAAACUCAGCUGGGUCUGGUGAGGGGCUGCAGCUCCUACUGCAAGCCUCCAGGGCAGAUCUCUAUCUUUGCUGAUGCUCAGCAGCCCUGUCCCACACCAGGUCACCCUCCCAACACGUCAGACAAGGUGGCUUCACCAUUAUAGAUUAUUCUAGGUUUCACUCAACUCCAGAUGGUUCUCUGAGAUUUGUUUCUCUGUGCUUUUCUGUAUUUUCCAGGUAUUUCUCAAGGGCAUUUUUUUUUAAGUACUGUGGAUUGAAUCCAGAACCUUUGCACUGAGCUGCAUUCCCAGGACCCCCCUAUUUAAAAAAAAAUGUUUUUUGGAUACAGGCUCUCUCUAAGUCACUAAGUCUCCCAGGCUUUCCAUCCGCUUGCCUCAGCCUCCCAGAGCAGUAGGGUUGCAGGCAGGCACCUCCAUCCUCAGCUCAGUGGAGAAUUUAUAAUCAGAGGAAUGAGGAUGUGUGCGUAACCCACAUUCGGAUGUGGGUGGUGCUCUGAUGAACCAACCAGGGACACCUGGGGGUCAUCGCAUGGGUGUGGCUAGGCUGCCCUUAGCACUGCCCCUUCCUGGGCCUGGGGCCUGGCCCUGAGUGGCCCCCUCCUGAGACCCCCAUCCACACAUGGACAGGCUGACUCCGGGUCUAUGUGCCCAUUGCACAGCUACAAUGCACAGAACCACCAGCCCUGCCCCACCCCACUCCUCCAAGCUCACCUUGGGUCCCCUCAACUGAGAGCCAACCCUGGGCAGAUGGUCAAAUUUCUGUGACCACCAUCAGUACCCGAGGGGCAGCCCAUGUGCCUGGUUCUCUGAGGGCAGCUGAGAAGGUGCACGGCAGGCUCCUAAUGGGUGCUGUGGAAGGGGUCCCUGGUGCAUGCCAGGCCUCCCCAGGUAAACCCCAGCCAAGUGCUGACCUCUUAGCUUCCAUUACAUCCAGCUUCAGUUACAUUCACCCCUGGGGCUCUAGAGGGACCUGGGGAAGACUGGUGGGGCCUCAGCUGGGAGGCUGGAUGGUGACUCAGACAGGGUUUGGACUAGGGCAGGGGGAAGGGAUAUCCGGCCACAGGUGAGAAGCUGGGUGAGGCUUCAGGCCGCAUCCUGGGCACCUCCAGGAGGAGAGGUCGGCCUUGUGCAGGAACCCUUCAGUGGGGUAGUCACUCAUCACCUCAGACUCUGAACCUUACCGGGAAACUGACACCACCAGCAGGCUACCUCCCGGUGGGGGAGGGCAGAUAUGCUCUACUGCACACAGGUGAGCUGGUAUCAUUAACCAGAGUGAUGAGCUGGUGGCUAAAGAGCGCUGGGCACCCAAGCAGCUGGACCAGAACUGACCCACUGAGGGGAUGCCAAUAGCAGGGAGACUGAAUCUUGGACCUGCAGCCUGGGCACUGACCUGGGGGAUGUGGGCCUAGGCAGGGUCUCAGCCCCCAACACAGACCAGCAUGGGGCCAAGUCAGGGAUCCAAUGGACAGAGUGAGGGACAGGGGUCUGGGGGCUCUGGGCAGGGCUGGGGCUGCUUUGAGGAACCAGAGGACACGUGUAGGUUCCAUAGGACUAUUCCCAGCUCUUGGGGCUCCUCCUAGCCUAGCACUUAGAGUCAUUGAGAAUGAUGCAAGUGACAGGUUUGUGUGUGUUUGUUAAUUUACUUAGAUUCAUUCACAGGAACAGCUGGCUGGGUCCCGCCGGGCAGCCUCGCCUGCCCACCUGCCGCCAGACUGCUGGCUCCACACAGCGUGCUCACAGCCUCAGCGGCCGUGGCCCUGGCUGCCUGGACACCCACUCCUCCCUGGUGCUGGCCAGGGACCUUGCCUGGCAUGGUUGGAGAGUGCUGGAGGGCCAGCCACGCCUGAACAGGAAACCAGUGCUGGACACCAGCCUAAGGGACUGGGCAAGCCCUCAACCCCCCUGGGCCUCUGUCUGGAUCUUCCUGUUCCUUCCGGUUCCUCCAUCCUGGAAUUGGGGGACUCUAGGAUGCCCAGCCCCUCAACCCUCUGCAACCCAGGGGGACUGGCCACCCAAAGCUGUGGUGUGGGUAGAACUUGUUGAGAGAGGAGGAAGAGCCAGACAAGUCCUGGCACCCCACCCUCUGAUAAGCCCUGAAGGGGCCAGCCUGGGCUGAGCAUAGAGGAGAGAAUUCAGCCUGUGCCCUGCACCGGAGGGUUGUUGAUCGCACCUACCAGUGCCAUCACGUCUGGUCUGGGAUGGUGACAGAGGUUUGAGCACAGAGAGCUCGUUCAUAGAGUAGACAGCUUCCUCCCCUUCAUCUCCCUGUCCCCACAGCUUUGUUAUUUAAAGUCAGGUUAAGGAAAGGAAAAAAACAACCCACAGACAGGUUUGGCUGGGAAGCUUCGAGACAGGAAAAGUUAGAGAUAUUUAUUUGACAGGGUCAAGGUUGGAGCCCCUCUCUCCCUCUCUCCCCAGGUCCCAUAGGUGUUAGGCUGAGAGACAUUUAAUCGCGGGAGUAGCGGUUUCAUAUCUAUAACAAAAAUCAAAUAAUGCAAGAUGAUUUACUCCCCCUAGCAACCGUGGAGCUCACCCUUAGCAACCAGGCUAGCCUCGGGCUGCGGUGUAAUCAGCUUGAAAAUAUUUCAAUUAUUGUGUUGAUUUUAGUGGAUUUGAGAAGCGCUGUGUGGAGAGCCGGGCACAUUCUCCCCGCGACCUGGAGAGGAAGAUAUUGAUUUAAACAGGUGUCAGGGAGGGAAAGUAGAGUAAAUUUAAAUGCGACGGGAGAGCGGCACGUUGCACGCGGAACGGGGCGGGGAUGACAUUUUGCGCAUUGCCUUGAACGAAAGUGACUCAACUGGACUAGAAAUUUCACCUUGAAAAUCAUCUCCCAUCGACACAAUCAAACACCCCUACCACGACACCCCUGCAUCCCCCAAGGCAGUAGGGAGGGCUGGAGUGGCAGCAGAGGGGACUCCCAGUGUCCUCAGGCUGUAGAGGCCUGGUCUCCUGCAGUAUCCCCAGGAGGCCCUUUGGAGGGGCCAGGGGCACAGGCCCAGGGACCCGUGGCCUCCUGCCUCCUGGCCUCUGAGUCCCCCUCUGCAACCCAGGCAGGUGUUUCCUGAGGGCCCUGUGGCCUGCUGUCCCUCUGAGACCUCUGUGAGACCCAGCCAUCACCUAGCUUCUUGGGCCCUGGCAACCAGAGGUCCUCCGAGUGCACAAACGUGGCUUGAGGACAGGGCCACCCCUUUCCUGCUCCCAGCUGUCCAGGAGGAAAGGAGGAGACAGGCCUGGCUGCCAUACCCCCACCCCAGAAGUAGAGGCAGCCAGAGGGAGGAGGGCCAGGCCUGCCAGGCCCUGUGGUCUCAGCCCAAGGCUCCCCUGAGCCCCAUCCUCCUCCUGAGACUGGAGGCAAACUUGGGCCAGGUGAUGUGGUGCAGCUGUGCAUCUUGGCUUCCCCCUUGAGCUGGUCCUGGGGUGGGGGUUUUGAGCCACUUCUGGUCUACAUGACCCUGAGAACCCCAAAUGGAAAGGUCCAGGACAUGUUCUGGGUGCUCUCCUCUUCCUUUGAAGCUUCCCAAUGUGGAGAUGCUGGGGAGGCUUCUCUGUUUCCCUACCUCAGGCAGCUCUUCCUCUAUGACCCUCAGGGUGGACAAGAAGGGCCUCUGGCUGGUACUGCCCAGGCUGGACAGGUGACCUCUUCCACGUCCAGAGCUGCUGCCCCAAUAGGGCCCUGAGGGGCUGAGCACAGGCCUUCCUCGGGGCUGGACACUGACCAGGUCCUCCAGCUCCUCCUGCUGUGACAGCAGAUGUAGCCAGGUGAGGUCAGGUGUAGCCCGGCUGACCUCAGUCCACAUGCUGGGCACCAAGCCGAGUGGGGAGGCCAACCUCACCCAGCUCAUGACCAUCAGCUCCAGGGGCUGGAGGAGGAAGCAUCCACCUGUGACCCAGCCUGGCAAGAGGACGGCCACUGGUGGACAGGAAGGACCUCAGGCCUCAUGCACAGGGCCGCUCCAGGCCACCUCAAGGCAGUGCUGUAAUAGCAGGCCAUAAACUGCCCCUGUGGGAAGACCCCCAGCAGCAUCUCACCGCCCUGGAAGGAGACUGGCAAGCAUGUACAAUCUGUCCCUGUCCCCAGCCCCAUACCUGUCCUCCCACCUAGUCUGCUUCCCCCUAAACAAUCUUUCCCUUUCAGCCCUACGUGGCCUGUCCUUCCCUGCAACCCUAUGCAAUUGCCCACCUCCCUCUGACCAUGGUCCUCUGCUGUGGCUGGACAUUUAGGUCAGCCGGGCCACAGGGCUCUUGCCUCUGCUGCUCCCUGCUGAGAAGGCUUCUCUCAGCACUCUGCAUGGCCUCUCCUCCACUGCCUCUCCUCCACUGCCUCUGGAGGUCCUUUUUAUCCUCUGCAGUACUAGGGAUUGAACCCAGGGCCCUCACACUGAGCUAUAUCCUCAGCCAUUUUUAUUUUGAGACUCAUGAAGACUCACAGAGACUCAUGAAGUCACUCAAUCGUCCAGGCUCAAAUCCAUUAAGUCAAUGCUCCUGCCUCAGCCCUCAAGAGUGCCAAGAUUAUAGGUAGGUGUCACCAGGCCUGGCUUUCUGAGAGGUCUUUUCUGGCCAACCUGGAUAAAGCAGCUCCUUUUUCUUGUGCCUUGGCCUUAUUUCUGAUAUGACACUGAUCAGCACAGCACCUAGAACUGCCCAGGACAACCAGGUGGUACCUGCUGCCUGCUGCAUGCCAGGUAACAAGGUGUGGGGGCCAGGAGCCAGUGGCACCUGGUCAGAGGCCCAGAGUCUCUUGCAAAAUUGAGCUGAUUCACCCUUUCUGAGGUUUAGUUCUGCAUCUGCAAGUGGGGGCCCAGGGUCCUCUGCCCGUCUCUCAGUGCUGCAGUAAGCCCUGAGUAGGUGGGGCUGGGAACAGGGCCUGGCCUCUCUCUUUCCACCCUUCACAGGAAGAGAACUUGAACACUGGUCUCCACGGUGACCCUGGACAGACACCGCAGCAGAAGACAGGGGCUUCCGAGGCCCCUGCACAGCCACAGGACUGGUAACCAGGGAGCUACUGGGGGCAAGGCUUGAGGAAGACCCUCCCAUCGUGAGCAGCUUGGGUCUGGAUCCUGGAGUUCUGGGAAACAGGUGACAAGAAUCGUGGCUGUGCCGCCAGAUUUUCAUGGGACCCCAGGCAGUUCCCCAUCCUUGGGACACUCAGACGGCUCCACGGGGACAGGGACAGUUCUAGUGUUUACGGUCAUUCCCACACUCACAAAUGCAUCUGAUCCAGGCCCCAGGGACUCCUGGAAGUUGUUAUCAGGUGUCAUGUGCCUGUCACUUUCCAGGGGCAAGGCCCCCAGCUCUCACCAGGCUUCUCUAGGGGCAUCUCUCUGUUUUCCCCCCAAACAACCCCAGAAGACCCGAGGUGGGCGACCACUCCACACCACCUGUAAGUGGGAGCCGGGCUGCCAGCCCAUACCCCUCCAAGUAUGCUUAAUAUGGGCUGGAUUUACCACAAACACAGUUCUCCCUAGGUUUCCUGGCCCCUUUAGAAAAGCAAUAUGCCACCUAAAUGUGUGUUUUUAUUACUUUCUCUAUUAUAAGUAAAAAUAUUGUAAUACCAUCUGACGAUCCACCAGCUGUCUGCGCAAACGGUGGGUGCUGUUCCAGGGAAGUUGGGCUGUGGGUGUGGGACCGCUAUCUGGGGAGGGCACUCUUGGAUUUCUGCUGAGACUGGCCCCACAUAUGCCAGGCCACAUGUUCCUGGGCUGGGAGCUGAUAAUUGUGCCCAUUUAUCUUAUGAUAGCUGAAAGCUGCAAAACACUAUAAAAGAGCAGUAGUGG